rfam:Brachypodium distachyon strain Bd21 chromosome 1, whole genome shotgun sequence.
CUACUACUCCCUCCGAUCCAUAUUAAUUGUCUCAAAUUUGUCUAAAUAUGGCUGCAUCUAUGCCUAAAAAUCGUUUACAUGUCGGUGUUACUUGUCGGAAUAUUACAUGUAUCUAGACACUUUUUAAACAUAGAUACGUUCUUUUUAGGCAAAUAUGAGACAAGUAAUAUGGGUCGGAGAAAGUAGCAC